GUUUAAAUAGUUUAAUGAAAAAUAUUGAUUUGUGAAAUCAAAGAUAUAAAAUUUUAUUUUAGACA
rnacentral:tRNA from 1 species